rfam:Gracilibacter sp. BRH_c7a BRHa_1003590, whole genome shotgun sequence.
UCUGGUGACAAUACCGGAGGGGUACCACCCGUUCCCAUCUCGAACACGGAAGUUAAGACCUCCAGGGCUGAGAAUACUGCUUUGCGGGAAGGUAAGUCGUUGCCAGGU